GUGUCAGCAGCCGCGGUAAUACGUAGGGGGCGAGCGUUGUUCGGAUUUACUGGGCGUAAAGAGCGCGUAGGUGGUUCGAUUAGUCGGAGGUGAAAGCCCUCGGCUUAACCGAGGAUCCGCGUCCGAUACUGUCGAACUUGAGUGCAGGAGAGGAGAGCGGAAUUCCCAGUGUAGCGGUGAAAUGCGUAGAUAUUGGGAGGAACACCGGUGGCGAAGGCGGCUCUCUGGACUGCCACUGACACUGAGGCGCGAAAGCUAGGGGAGCAAACGGGAUUAGAUACCCGCGUAGUCC
rnacentral:rRNA from 1 species